rnacentral:rRNA from 1 species
AUUGAACGCUGGCGGCAGGCCUAACACAUGCAAGUCGAGCGGUAACAGGAAAGUGCUUGCACUUUUGCUGACGAGCGGCGGACGGGUGAGUAAUAUAUGGGGAUCUGCCUGAUGGAGGGGAAAAAUUCCGGAAACGGUAGCUAAUAACACAUAACGUCGCCAGGCCAAAGGGGGGGACCUUCGGGCCCUGCCGCCAUCGGUGAAACCAAAUGGGAUUAGCUAAUAGGUGGGGUAAAGGCUCACCUAGGCGACGAUCUCUAACUGGUUCGAGAGGAUGACCAGUCACACUGGGACUUAGACACGGCCCAGACUCCUACGGGAGGCAGCAGUGGGGAAGAUUGGACAAUGGGGGCAACCCUGAUCCAGCCAUGCCGCGUGUGUGAAGAAGGCCUUAGGGUUGUAAAGCACUUUCAGUGGGGAGAAAGGCUAUUGCGUUAAUAGCGUAGUAGAUUGAUGUUACCCACAGAAGAAGCACCGGCUAACUCCGUGCCAGCAGCCGCCGUAA